rnacentral:rRNA from 1 species
CUCCCUCGUUGCUGACCCAGGUUCGAUAGUGCCAAUGAGACACAGCCUCGCCAAGAACCAACUUCGAUGAAGCGACGGGCGGUGUGUG